rnacentral:rRNA from 1 species
GGGCCCGCACAAGCGGUGGAGUAUGUGGUUUAAUUCGAUGCAACGCGAAGAACCUUACCAGGGCUUGACAUCCCGGGAACCCGGUGGAAACACCGGGGUGCCCGCAAGGGAGCCCGGAGACAGGUGGUGCAUGGCUGUCGUCAGCUCGUGUCGUGAGAUGUUGGAUUAAGUUCCGCAACGAGCGCAACCCUCGUCGUAUGUUGCCAGCGGUUCGGCCGGGCACUCAUACGAGACUGCCGCAGCAAUGUGGAGGAAGGUGGGGAUGACGUCAAGUCAGCAUGCCCCGUACGCCCUGGGCUACACACAUACUACAAUGCGAGGAGCAGACGGAUGCUAACCCGCGAGGGGGCGCUAAUCCGCGAAGGCCUCGCUCAGUGCAGAUUGCAGGCUGCAACUCGCCUGCAUGAAGGCGGAAUCGCUAGUAACCGUCGGUCAGCAUUACGACGGUGAAUACGUUCCCGGGCCUU